rnacentral:rRNA from 1 species
AUGUGUGAGGUCGCUGCUUCUAUUGGUCCUAUUCUGGAAAUUGAUAUGUCCACCAUUAUGAAAGAGAAAAUCAGGGCUGAGGAGGGAGUCAGAGAUUUUGAAAAAAUCCCUCAUCAAACUGAGAUCACUGACAAGGACCUGAUGAUAUACAGAAUCAACAUUGAGUUGGAGGAAGUAGUUGAACAAGGGUGGUAUGAUGAGAAGAGAAAGUUUGAGACCAUGGGACCUGAACUUGAGGGAAAUGAUAUGGGAGGCCAGAAAAAAAUUAAAAUUGAUGAGUCGGGAGUUAAUGGAAAUAAAGAAAACAUCUUCUUGGGAAGUAUAGGACUCAAACAAUUUGAGGAGAUGCAACAGAAAAAUGAUGAGAUUUUGAAGAUGCAGAAAGAUUAUAUGUUAGAGGUGGGCUUGAGGAAGAAAGUAGAGGUGGAGCUAGAUAAAGCCCUUAAAAAACUUCAAGAGGUGGAAGAAAUCAGAUGCAGAAAUGAUGCUUGGAACACUACAAGAAAUAUGUCAACUAGUGACCUUCUGUCAGUGACCCUGGAAGAAUUGGUCAUAGAUCUAUGA